UAAUAAAAUAUGAAUGAUUAACCUUCAUCAGCCUCUGGAGGAUCACAGUCCAACAUCUUUACUGUUUAUCAGAGAUCUCAGGAGAGACUUUAUAUCAAACAGAGGAGAAGAGGAGCAGAGGAGGAGCAGAGGAGGAGCAGAGGAGCAGAGGAGGCUCACAGAGACUCAGGAGGUGUUGGACCCACUGUUUGUCUGAGCACCUCUGCCCUCUCACUGUCACUCAGACUGGACUGAGCAUGGAUCAGAGAGAGACCAGAGAGGACGGAGCCCCUCCCUCUAAAACCACUCACCCCCCCAGAGCUCACAGACCUGCUCCUGGGGCCAGCGCCGUCUCAUUCAAGAGUGUUCGCUCUAUGCUACGAGGUAUUAAGUUUAAAAG
ensembl:lncRNA